CUCCAGAGCGCAGGGCUCCCACCCCAACUCUCCCACAGCUUCCCGGCUGUGGGCGUCGCUCUCAGCCAGAACAACUAGCUCCCGCCCUCGCCGCGGGUCUGCUUCUGGGGAGGCGUCGCACAGGUUGGGGGGAGGUUUGGCUCCGCCUCUUAUCUGGGCCUUCCCCCGACACACCCAAAUGGAAGAGGACGUCGGUCAGUGAAUCAGCCGGCCCAAGGAGAGGUUUGGAGUUACAGACAAGGAGAACCGACGGACCCGAGAAAGGAGCCUUCGGACCUGGACAGUCCAGACGCACCCAACCUGGCCUGACAGCUGCAGAGCAAGAAGCACCUGUUGAUGGGACUCAGGCAGAUUUCACCUGAGCAUCCAGAUUGCACCAGCUCAGGCUCCCAGCCGACCAAAGCAGUGCCACCUGUUGAUUGAGGAAUGGUCUUAAAGUAAAAACAGAAGAAAAGUAAAGGAUUGAGCAUUUGCAAGACAAAGAAUUAAUUUCAUGAAAAUUUAUUUCCUAAUGAAGAUGUGAUAAAUUCCAUUUUUACAAGAACAAAGUUGACAAACAGUAACGAGUAAACCUGUGUCAGGAUCGUCAUUAUCACCUGCUUUGAUCUCCACCGCAUCACUCUUUGGGCGCUUGGGCUGUCACAAUCCUGUUACAGCUCAGUAGGUGAGGGCCAAGUCUACAGGCCAGGUCUAAAGCUGAUGCUGUGUUUGGGUUUCCCACACGGGUGUCAACCUAGAAUAGUGUAUCACCGAGAAGCUGAUGUGGAUGGGAUCCCUGGCACCAUUUGGUGCCUAAAAACACGUAUGAGAUAAUCCAUUUAAAAUAUGCCACUUUAGGGAAUUCCCUGGCGGUCCAGUAGUUAGGACUCCUCACUUCCACUGCAGAGGGUGCAGGUCCGAUCCCUGGUUGGGGAACUAAGAUCCCACAUGCCGCGUGGCACGGCCAAAAAAAAAAAUAAAUAAAUAAUAAAAUAUGCCACUUUA